ACUCAAAUAGUUUAAGAAAAAGACGUUAGCUUGUGGCGCUUAAGAUGUAAUAAUUACUUUGAGUC
rnacentral:tRNA from 1 species